CAUCUCUCAUGGACAUGCACUUGCUCCUGCAAAGCUGGCUGUGGCAGUAAGUGCAAACACAUAGCUGCUUGCCUAAUUUAUAUCCACAAAUAUCCACACUUAGAUAUAAUAAGUUCUACGGAGAUAACCCAAAAGUGGGGUAAGUUAGGCAAGCAGUUUGCCACUCAGUUUUGCUCCGUAGAUGCAAGUGAUCUCUGCCACUGCCGAAGACAGAUAAAAGUUUUCGAGGAUGUUGUGAAUGAAGAUAUUCAAAAAGAAAUUUUUCAAGGUUUACUUGCUGGUAAUUUACGAUGCGUUUUUAUCAUGAUGAAGGAUCCUCCAUUGAAAUUAUCUGUGUUUUUUUUUUUAGUUCUAUAAAAAUGUUUCUUUAAUUCGACAGUUUUUGUUUUGUUAUUGCUUGUAAAGUGUAAAGUAUAUUUUUAAUUGUGCUUUUUUGUUUUUUUAUUUACUAACAAUUUUUCGCUACUAAGUCGACA